CGGUGCGCGAGCAGUUGCCCGCCCUCAAGCACGUCUGGCAGAUCGACGCCGGUGCCGUCGAGGAGCUGGGACGCCU
rnacentral:tRNA from 1 species